UUAUGCCGGUGACUGUAAAAAUUAUACAAAAGUCAACACUUUCCGCAGACAAGUACUUUCUCUAGGAGUAUCUCGCACUCCGUGAAUGCAUUUGUCAAUUGAAAGCCCUCUUACCUUGAUUAAAGGCCAGGGCAGGCACAAAGAUGACAAUGGGCAGCCAGAUCAGCUAUUGAAAGAAGAUUCAAAAGAAUUCAAAAUUGUAUUCAACUUACGUUUGAGCAGGUGAAGAGGGCGGAUCCCAGCAGGCGAACCGAUUUGUUAAAGCGCAUCUCGAAGUACUGUAAAUAUUUUUUUUCCAUUGGUUCUUCGGCAUUUGGUUAACACAAUAAACAUUGCCCACCCACACGGACACGGACACGUACACGUACACGCACAAGUACACGGACACAUAGAAUGUGGCUGUGCGGCUACGUCGCGCAUA